GACGAACGCUGGCGGCGCGCCUAACACAUGCAAGUCGAACGAGCGAGAGAGAGCUUGCUUUCUCGAGCGAGUGGCGAACGGGUGAGUAACGCGUGAGGAACCUGCCUCAAAGAGGGGGACAACAGUUGGAAACGACUGCUAAUACCGCAUAAGCCCACGGCUCGGCAUCGAGCAGGGGGAAAAGGAGCAAUCCGCUUUGAGAUGGCCUCGCGUCCGAUUAGCUAGUUGGUGAGGUAACGGCCCACCAAGGCGACGAUCGGUAGCCGGACUGAGAGGUUGAACGGACACAUUGGGACUGAGACACGGCCCAGACUACUACGGGAGGCAGCAGUGGGGAAUAUUGCACAAUGGGGGAAACCCUGAUGCAGCGACGCCGCGUGGAGGAAGAAGGUCUUCGGAUUGUAAACUCCUGUUGUUGGGGAAGAUAAUGACGGUACCCAACAAGGAAGUGACGGCUAACUACGUG
rnacentral:rRNA from 1 species